GGCCUGAGAGGGCGACCGGCCACACUGGGACUGAGACACGGCCCAGACUCCUACGGGAGGCAGCAGUGGGGAAUAUUGCGCAAUGGGCGGAAGCCUGACGCAGCGACGCCGCGUGGGGGAUGACGGCCUUCGGGUUGUAAACCUCUUUCGCCAGGGACGAAGAGUGAUUGACGGUACCUGGAGAAGAAGCACCGGCCAACUACGUGCCAGCAGCCGCGGUAACACGUAGGGUGCGAGCGUUGUCCGGAAUUAUUGGGCGUAAAGAGCUCGUAGGCGGUGUGUCGCGUCGGCCGUGAAAACUUGGGGCUUAACUCUGAGCGUGCGGUCGAUACGGGCAUCACUUGAGUUCGGCAGGGGAGACUGGAAUUCCUGGUGUAGCGGUGAAAUGCGCAGAUAUCAGGAGGAACACCGGUGGCGAAGGCGGGUCUCUGGGCCGAUACUGACGCUGAGGAGCGAAAGCGUGGGGAGCGAACAGGAUUAGAUACCCUGGUAGUCCACGCCGUAAACGUUGGGCGCUAGGUGUGGGGACCAUUCCACG
rnacentral:rRNA from 2 species